rnacentral:rRNA from 1 species
UACGAAGGGGGCGAGCGUUGUUCGGAUUUACUGGGCGUAAAGGGUGCGUAGGCGGGUCUUUAAGUCAGGGGUGAAAUCCUGGAGCUCAACUCCAGAACUGCCUUUGAUACUGAGGAUCUUGAGUACGGGAGAGGUGAGUGGAACUGCGAGUGUAGAGGUGAAAUUCGUAGAUAUUCGCAAGAACACCAGUGGCGAAGGCGGCUCACUGGCCCGUUACUGACGCUGAGGCACGAAAGCGUGGGGAGCAAACAGG